rnacentral:rRNA from 1 species
UACAGAGGGUGCAAGCGUUGUUCGGAAUCAUUGGGCGUAAAGGGCGUGUAGGCGGUUUGUUAAGUCAUGUGUGAAAUCCCUCGGCUCAACCUGGGAACUGCAUUUUGAAAACUCCCCUUUCUUGAGUACCGGAGAGGAAAGUGGAAUUCCUGGUGUAGAGGUGAAAAUUCGUAGAUAUCAGGAGGAACACCAGUGGCGAAAGGCGGCUUUCUGGACGGUAACUGACGCUGAGACGCGAAAAGCGUGGGGGAGCAAACAGG